CUACGGGAUGCUGCAGUGGGGAAUAUUGCACAAUGGGGGAAACCCUGAUGCAGCAACGCCGCGUGGAGGAUGACGCAUUUCGGUGUGUAAACUCCUUUUAUAUAGGAAGAUAAUGACGGUACUAUAUGAAUAAGCACCGGCUAACUCCGUGCCAGCAGCCGCGGUAAUACGGAGGGUGCAAGCGUUACUCGGAAUCACUGGGCGUAAAGCGCGCGCAGGCGGCCCCUUAAGUUGGAUGUGAAAGCCUACGGCUUAACCGUAGAACUGCAGCCAAAACUGAGGGGCUAGAGUCUGGGAGGGGAAGAUGGAAUUAGUUGUGUAGGGGUAAAAUCCGUAGAGAUAACUAGGAAUACCAAAAGCGAAGGCGAUCUUCUGGAACAGUACUGACGCUGAGGCGCGAAAGCGUGGGGAGCAAACAGGAUUAGAUACCCGCGUAGUC
rnacentral:rRNA from 1 species